GACGAACGCUGGCGGCGUGCUUAACACAUGCAAGUCGAACGGAAAGGCCCCUUUGGGGGUACUCGAGUGGCGAACGGGUGAGUAACACGUGAGUAACCUGCCCUUGACUUCGGGAUAACUUCAGGAAACUGGGGCUAAUACCGGAUAGGAAUCCUUGCUGCAUGGUGGGGGUUGGAAAGCUUCGGCGGUUUUGGACGGACUCGCGGCUUAUCGGCUUGUUGGUGGGGUAGUGGCUUACCAAGGCUUUGACGGGUAGCCGGCCAGAGGGGGCGACCGGCCACACUGGGACUGAGAGACGGCCCAGACUCCUACGGGAGGCAGCAGGGGGGAAUAUUGCACAAUGGGCGGAAGGCUGAUGCAGCAACGCCGCGUGCGGGAUGACGGCCUUCGGGUUGUAAACCGCUUUCAGCAGGGGCGAAGCUUGUGGUGACGGUACCUGCAGAAGAAGCACCGGCUAACUACGUG
rnacentral:rRNA from 1 species